GAUGAACGCUGGCGGCGUGCCUAACACAUGCAAGUCGAGCGGGAAAUUUACAAAUGAGAUUUCGGUCAAAUGAGUAGAUGGAGAGCGGCGGACGGGUGAGUAGCGCGUAGGCAACCUGCCCCAUACACAGGGAUAGCCUCGGGAAACCGGGAUUAAAACCUGAUAAAGCUUGGAAGUCACAUGGUUUUCAAGUCAAAGAUUUAUCGGUAUGGGAUGGGCCUGCGUCUGAUUAGCUGGUUGGUGGGGUAACGGCCUACCAAGGCAACGAUCAGUAGCCGACCUGAGAGGGUGAUCGGCCACAUUGGAACUGAGACACGGUCCAAACUCCUACGGGAGGCAGCAGUGGGGAAUAUUGCACAAUGGGCGAAAGCCUGAUGCAGCAACGCCGCGUGAAGGAAGAAGGCCUUUGGGUCGUAAACUUCUGUCUUUAGGGAAGAAACAAAUGACGGUACCUAAAGAGGAAGCCCCGGCUAACUACGUGCCAGCAGCCGCGGUAAUACGUAGGGGGCGAGCGUUAUCCGGAAUUAUUGGGCGUAAAGAGUGCGUAGGUGGUUUUGUAAGCGAGGGGUGAAAGGCAAUGGCUCAACCAUUGUUAGCCUUUCGAACUGCGAGACUUGAGUGCAGGAGAGGUAAGCGGAAUUCCUAGUGUAGCGGUGAAAUGCGUAGAUAUUAGGAGGAACACCGGUGGCGAAGGCGGCUUACUGGACUGAAACUGACACUGAGGCACGAAAGCGUGGGGAGCAAACAGGAUUAGAUACCCUGGUAGUCCACGCCGUAAACGAUGAGCACUAGGUGUCGGGUCCGCAAGGAUUCCGUGCCGAAUUUACGCAAUAAGUGCUCCGCCUGGGGAGUACGCACGCAAGUGUGAAACUCAAAGGAAUUGACGGGGAACCCCACAAGCAGCGGAACAUGUGGUUUAAUUC
rnacentral:rRNA from 1 species